GGUCAUUCUAGAUUAGCCAUGCAAGUCUAAGUACGAGCUCCCGUACAGUGAAACUGCGAAUGGCUCAUUAAAUCAGUUAUGGUUCAUUUGAUCGUACGUGUUACUUGGAUAACUGUGGAAAUGCUAGAGCUAAUACAUGCAUAAAGCGCCGACCUCGCGGGAGGCGUGCUUUUAUCAGACCAAAAACCGACCGGGCUUCGGCUCGUCGCUUUGGUGACUCUGGAUAACUUCGCGGAUCGCACGGUCGAGCACCGGCGACGGAUCAUUCAAGUGUCUGCCCUAUCAACUUUCGUCGGUAGGGUAUCGGCCUACCGAGGUUCUUACGGGUAACGGGAAAUCAGGGUUCGAUUCCGGAGAGGGAGCCUGAGAAACGGCUACCACAUCCAAGGAAGGCAGCAGGCGCGCAAAUUACCCAUUCCCGACGCGGGGAGGUAGUGACGAAAAAUAACAAUACAGGACUCUCAACGAGGCCCUGUAAUUGGAAUGAGUACACUUUAAAACCUUUAACGAGUAUCCAUUGUAGGGCAAGUCUGGUGCCAGCAGCCGCGGGAAUUCCAGCUCCAAAAGUGUAUAUUUAAGUUGCUGCGGUUAAAAAGCUCGUAGUUGGAUUUUGGGCGCAGGCGGCCGGUCCGUCGCAAGGCGUGCACUGGCCGUCCUGGCCUUACCUACAGUUCGGCGUCGGUGCUCUUGACUGAGUGUCGGCGGCAGUCGGGAUCCUUACUUUGAAAAAAUUAUAGUGUUCAAAGAAAGCGGGUCGGCUGAAUGAUGGUGUAUGGAAUAAUGGAAUAGGAUCUCGGUUCUAUAAUGCAGUCUUUGGGAGCGCUAGGUAAUGAGUACGAGUGCAGAGAGGGGCAUUCGUACUGUGCCGUGAGAGGUGAAAUUCCUGGCUCGCCGUCACGACUAACGACUGCGACAGCAUCGCCAAAGCAUGUUAUCAUUAAUCAGAGCGAAUGUCAUAUGUCCGAGACAAUCAUAAAGCCGACCUAGCUGCUGACUAUCACCGUAGCUAUCUAGAGAUCAGGGGAGCGGUCAGUGACGACCUGCCCUGCAGACUACGGGAAGCAACGGCAUGGAGUCAGGAGGGACGAUGGCUUGCAUGCUGCAGACCUGACGAUUGACCGAAGUCCACAUCAGACUGUGACUGCGCUAAUGAAUCACUUGGACGGACUGCGAUCGCCAGAUAGCACUCGAAGCCUCUGUAUCUGUGAAGUGGUAUCAG
rnacentral:rRNA from 1 species